CCUAUUCAUAAUUCUUCAUAAUUGAAUACCAAUCUACCAAUAAAGUACAACCUCUCCCCUAAUCUCCUCCCCGGACAGCAGCACCUCACCCUCUCCCUUCCUCGCAGUCGUGCUCUUUCUCCGUCGUUCUUCACACUUCACGCAAUAGCAGCACGCACCAGCAACCGCCUUGUCGUUCUCCACGCAUCAACAGCCUUAUGUCGCCCUCCGUGCAGUGCAGCCAUCGUAUCGUCCUCCACGUAGCAGCAACCCCGUAUCGCUCUCCAGCGUCGUGCCUUCCUCCAUUCCUCCCUGCAGUUGCCACUCUCUGUGUAACAUGGUAGUUUCCAAAGGUUCGGUCCAGUGAACUUGUUCUGGAGUACACGCUAGACAAAAAAAAUGACAUUGUUUUUGGCAUGCCUCAAGGAUUUUGCAAAAUUUGCCAAGUCCAAAGAUCAAAAAGAUAAUAUCCCACCUGAGAAAUGUUUCAAACUUCCAUACAAAUUUACAGCUCUUCGAGUCUUUUUCGCAAAGAGGAAAGAACCAAACUAAGCCUGCUCUGUGUCCAUAAUAUCUUCUGGUGCAUAUCCAGGAUUGAUAAUGACAAAGUGAAAAACUAUUCCAUCACUCAAAGCUUCAAUAAGCAGGAAAACUGGACAAAAGCUCUCAAGUACACCCUUUGCAAUUUGAAAUGAGCUCUCUAUUAGUUUGUUGGGAACACCAACUUUCAACCUCUUUCAGCAAUCGUAUCUACACAUUCUGAAGUGCCUGCUAUAGGUUCUUUGUACCCAAAGCGACGCACUGAACCCAACAAGUCUUAAUCUUCAAACCUUGAACAUAUGCUAGCUAGGUUUUAGGCUUACAUCACACCCAAAUGUGUACAUAGAAAUAUUUAGUUUUUAGAAUAUCAUGGUGUGACAAGUAUUCAACAUUUGAUAUUGUAUGUGGAAAUCUAUUCAAUAGCUAUAGAAGUAUAGAACUUCUCUUCCUAUACCAAGUUCAAUGUUAAACAUAAACUGCUCUUCUUCUUUUAGGUACAUUAGCGUAAACUUUUAUCUAAAGGAAGACAAAUUUCUUUGGAAAUUCAGUGUACAUUAUUAUUAUUAUUAAAGUAUAAUACAUGUUAAGUUGUCACAAAAAAGGAUUCAUGUUAAUAGAAUUUAUUUUAUUUUUU